UNUGGUCUGUCACUGACGCUGAGNCUCGAAAGCGUGGGUAGCGAACAGGAUUAGAUACCCUGGUAGUCCACGCCGUAAACGCUGAGUGCUAGGUGUUAGGUCCUUUCCGGGACUUAGUGCCGACGCUAACGCAUUAAGCACUCCGCCUGGGGAGUACGACCGCAAGGUUGAAACUCAAAGGAAUUGACGGGGGCCCGCACAAGCGGUGGAGCAUGUGGUUUAAUUCGAAGCAACGCGAAGAACCUUACCAGGUCUUGACAUCCCGAUGCCCGCUCUAGAGAUAGAGUUUUACUUUUUGUACAUCGGAGACAGGUGGUGCAUGGUUGUCGUCAGCUCGUGUCGUGAGAUGUUGGGUUAAGUCCCGCAACGAGCGCAACCCUUAUUGUUAGUUGCCAUCAUCAAGUUGGGCACUCUAGCGAGACUGCCGGUAAUAAACCGGAGGAAGGUGGAGAUGACGUCAAAUCAUCAUGCCCCUUAUGACCUGGGCUACACACGUGCUACAAUGGUUGGUACAACGAGUCGCAAGCCGGUGACGGCAAGCUAAUCUCUGAAAGCCAAUCUCAGUUCGGAUUGUAGGCUGCAACUCGCCUACAUGAAGUCGGAAUCGCUAGUAAUCGCGGAUCAGCACGCCGCGGUGAAUACGUUCCCGGGCCUUGUACACACCGCCCGUCACACCACGAGAGUUUGUAACACCCAAANU
rnacentral:rRNA from 1 species